GACGAACGCUGGCGGCGUGCUUAACACAUGCAAGUCGAACGAUGAACCCGGAACUUGGUCUGGGGGAUUAGUGGCGAACGGGUGAGUAACACGUGAGGAACAUGCACUGGAAUGUGGGAUAAGCGUUGGAAACGACGUCUAAUACAGGAUAGGAUCUUGGAUAGCAUGAUCUGGGGUGGAAAGAUUUUUCCGUCCUGGAUGGACUCGCGGCCUCUCAGCUUGUUGGUCAGGUAAUGGAUGGCCAAGCCGUCGAAGGGAAGCCUGCCUGAGACGGGGACCGGCCACCCUGCGAGCGUCACACGGGCCAGACCCGUACGGGAGGCAGCAGAGGGGAAUAAUGCACAAUGGGCGAAAGCCGGGUGCAGCAACGCGGCGUGCGGGAUGACAGCCUUCGGGUUGUAGACCGCUAUUAGUAGGGAAGAAUGGGCUCGGCUUGACGGUACCUGCAGAAAAAGGACCGGCUAACUACGUG
rnacentral:rRNA from 1 species